rnacentral:rRNA from 1 species
GAUGAACGCUAGCUACAGGCUUAACACAUGCAAGUCGAGGGGAAACGACAUCGAAAGCUUGCUUUUGAUGGGCGUCGACCGGCGCACGGGUGAGUAACGCGUAUCCAACCUGCCCACCACUUGGGGAUAACCUUGCGAAAGUAAGACUAAUACCCAAUGAUAUCUCUAGAAGACAUCUGAAAGAGAUUAAAGAUUUAUCGGUGAUGGAUGGGGAUGCGUCUGAUUAGCUUGUUGGCGGGGUAACGGCCCACCAAGGCGACGAUCAGUAGGGGUUCUGGGAGGAAGGUCCCCCACAUUGGGACUGAGACACGGUCCAAACUCCUACGGGAGGCAGCAGUGAGGAAUAUUGGUCAAUGGGCGAGAGCCUGAACCAGCCAAGUAGCGUGCAGGAUGACGGCCCUAUGGGUUGUAAACUGCUUUUAUAAGGGAAUAAAGUGAGCCUCGUGAGGCUUUUUGCAUGUACCUUAUGAAUAAGGACCGGCUAAUUCCGUGCCAGCCGCCGCCGUAA